UACGUAGGUCCCGAGCGUUGUCCGGAUUUAUUGGGCGUAAAGCGAGCGCAGGUGGUUUAUUAAGUCUGGUGUAAAAGGCAGUGGCUCAACCAUUGUAUGCAUUGGAAACUGGUAGACUUGAGUGCAGGAGAGGAGAGUGGAAUUCCAUGUGUAGCGGUGAAAUGCGUAGAUAUAUGGAGGAACACCGGUGGCGAAAGCGGCUCUCUGGCCUGAAACUGACGUUGAGGCUCGAAAGCGUGGGGAGCAAACAGG
rnacentral:rRNA from 1 species